AGCAAGCGAGCGAGUUUCCAUCUACUGGUUCACUCCCCAAAGGGCCACAACAGCUGCAGGGUUGAGCCACCUGAAGCCAGAAGUUUCUUUUCACGUUCCAUGUGGGUGCAGGGGAUCAAGGACCUGGGCCAUCCUCUGCUGCUUUCCCAGGCCAUUCAGGGGGAGCUGGAUUGGAUAGUGAAGCAGCCAGUACAUGAACCAGCACCCAUAUAUGAUGCCAGUAGCACAGGCAGAAGAUCAGGCUGCUACACUGCUGUGCCAUGACACAGUGGUGCCUUUUAUGGAGUCCUCUCAAGGACAGACACUUGGAAGCCUGGGUCAGUAUUGGUCUCUAAUUCAAUGCUGUCAUCUCCCUCACUACUCCCAGCUAUGAUAUGCCAGGAAGAACAUGGCUGAGUGGUUGGGAUCCAAGCUGACACUCGGACAAGGGGGAGCAGUCAACCACUGAGCUCCAGGAGACAAACAUAUCGGGCCCUGAAGCAUCCAAGGCAAAAACCCCAAAGCACAAACAAGCUGGAGGUUUCUGUGAACAGAAACCAGACAAUGCAUCAACAGCAGCUUGGUGAG